GGCUACUAAAGGUUGUAGUGGAGACGGGGAGUUUAACAUCAUGGCUACUAAAGGUUGUAGUGGAGACGGGGAGUAUAACAACAUGGCUACUAAAGGUUGUAGUGGAGACGGGGAGUUUAACAACAUGGCUACUAAAGGUUGUAGUGGAGACGGGGAGUUUAACAACAUGGCUACUAAAGGUUGUAGUGGAG